rnacentral:pre_miRNA from 1 species
UAAAUACUCCCUCCGUUUCGAAUUACUUGUUGUAGAAAUGGAUGUAUCUAGAACUAAAAAAUAUCUAGAUACAUCCAUUUCUACGACAAGUAAUUUCAAACGGAGGGAGUAAAAC